rnacentral:rRNA from 1 species
AUUGAACGCUGGCGGAAUGCUUUACACAUGCAAGUCGAACGGCAGCACGGGGCAACCUGGUGGCGAGUGGCGAACGGGUGAGUAAUACAUCGGAACGUGCCCAAUCGUGGGGGAUAACGUAGCGAAAGUUACGCUAAUACCGCAUACGAUCUACGGAUGAAAGCGGGGGAUCGCAAGACCUCGCGCGAGUGGAGCGGCCGAUGUCAGAUUAGGUAGUUGGUGGGGUAAAAGGCCCACCAAGCCAACGAUCUGUAGCUGGUCUGAGAGGACGACCAGCCACACUGGAACUGAGACACGGUCCAGACUCCUACGGGAGGCAGCAGUGGGGAAUUUUGGACAAUGGGCGCAAGCCUGAUCCAGCCAUUCCGCGUGCAGGAUGAAGGCCU